AUGGUGUCCGAUGCCAGCAAGAAGAAAGCCGCGCAGAAGAAGGCCGCCGCCGCCGCCAAGAGGGGAGCCAAGUCCAGCGCCGCUGCCUCGUCCUCGUCGGCGUCGUCGGCGGCCGAUAAGGCCGCCAAUGGCAUAGCGGCCCUUAACUUAUCCGAUCGGACAUGUACCGGGGUCCUGGCUUCGCAUCCGCUCUCCCGUGAUAUCCACAUUGAGUCCCUUUCAUUAACAUUUCAUGGACAUGACCUUAUUGUGGAUUCAGAAUUGGAGCUUAACUACGGGAGGCGGUAUGGUUUGCUCGGCUUAAAUGGUUGUGGGAAAUCUACCCUUCUCACCGCAAUAGGCUGCAGGGAACUCCCCAUUCCUGAACACAUGGACAUACAUCAUCUUACGCGUGAGAUUGAGGCUUCUGACAUGUCUGCGCUGCAAGCUGUUAUCUGUUGUGAUGAAGAAAGAGUGAAGUUGGAAAAGGAAGCUGAAAUUCUGGCUGCACAGGAUGAUGGUGGCGGUGAAGCUUUGGAUCUUGUAUAUGAGCGGUUAGAAGCAAUGGAUGCAUCAACUGCUGAAAAGCGUGCUGCUGAGAUAUUGUUUGGUCUAGGUUUUGACAAGCAAAUGCAAGCAAAGCCAACACGAGAUUUUUCUGGGGGUUGGCGUAUGAGGAUUGCAUUGGCAAGGGCGCUGUUCAUGAACCCGACCAUCCUUUUGCUUGAUGAGCCAACCAACCAUCUUGAUCUCGAGGCUUGUGUCUGGCUGGAAGAGAAAUUAAAGAAUUUUGAGCGUAUACUUGUUGUUAUCUCGCAUUCCCAAGAUUUUCUAAAUGGAGUGUGCACUAACAUCAUCCACAUGCAGAACAAGACCCUCAAGUUAUAUACUGGAAAUUAUGACCAGUAUGUUCAAACUCGCUCUGAGCUUGAAGAGAAUCAAAUGAAGCAGUACAAAUGGGAACAGGAACAGAUAGCUAAUAUGAAGGAGUACAUUGCCCGAUUUGGUCAUGGAUCUGCGAAGCUUGCUCGUCAGGCUCAGAGCAAAGAGAAGACUCUUGCAAAGAUGGAGCGUGGUGGUCUUGCUGAGAAGGUUGUCAAUGACAGGAUUCUUGUUUUCCGCUUUACAGAUGUUGGCAAACUCCCACCACCAGUGCUGCAGUUUGCUGAUGUGACAUUUGGUUACACUCCGGAUAAUCUCAUCUACAAGAACCUUGACUUCGGUGUUGACCUUGACUCGAGAGUUGCACUGGUCGGUCCCAAUGGGGCAGGUAAGAGCACACUUCUGAAGCUCAUGACAGGUGACCUAUCUCCGUUGGAUGGCAUGGUCAGACGCCACAACCACCUACGCAUUGCACAAUUCCAUCAACAUCUCACUGAGAAGCUGGACCUGGACAUGCCGGCCCUGCAGUACAUGAUGAGGGAGUACCCUGGGAAUGAAGAGGAGAAGAUGAGAGCUGCGAUUGGCAAGUUUGGCCUGUCAGGAAAGGCACAGGUGAUGCCAAUGAAAAACCUGUCUGAUGGGCAGAAGGCCCGUGUCAUUUUUGCUUGGCUAGCAUUUAGGCAGCCACAGAUGCUGUUGCUUGAUGAGCCGACAAAUCAUCUUGACAUUGAGACCAUUGACUCACUUGCUGAGGCACUGAAGGAAUGGGACGGGGGGUUGGUCCUGGUGAGCCAUGACUUCAGGCUGAUCAAUCAGGUUGCUCAAGAGAUCUGGGUCUGUGAGAACCAGGCGGUGACUAGGUGGGAAGGCGAUAUCAUGGAUUUCAAGCAACACUUGAAGAAAAGGGCUGGUCUCUAG
rnacentral:rRNA from 1 species